rnacentral:rRNA from 1 species
AUACGGAGGAUCCGAGCGUUAUCCGGAUUUAUUGGGUUUAAAGGGUGCGCAGGCGGCCAUUUAAGUCAGCGGUUAAAUCGUGGGGCUCAACCCCAUUCUGCCGUUGAUACUGGGUGGCUUGAUUGCGGUCGAGGUUGGCGGAAUUCGUUGUGUAGCGGUGAAAUGCAUAGAUAUGACGAAGAACACCGAUUGCGUAGGCAGCUGACCAGAUCGCAAAUGACGCUCAUGCACGAAAGUGCGGGGAUCAAACAGGAUUAGAUACCCUGGUAGUCCGCACAGUAAACGAUGAAUACUUGUUUUCGGCGAUAUAAUGUCGGAGGCAAAGCGAAAGCGAUAAGUAUUCCACCUGGGGAGUACGCCGGCAACGGUGAAACUCAAAGGAAUUGACGGGG